rnacentral:lncRNA from 1 species
UCCCAGUAUAUCCCAGUUCUACCCCAGUUUGUUCCGGUUUGUUCCGAUUUGUCCCGGUGCUGUACAGAGGAUUUAGAGUGCCCUGGGGAAACUGAGGCACGCCGGACGCAUCUGAGCCCGCUUCAGACCAGUGCCUUCCCAGUAUAUCCCAGUUCUACCCCAGUUUGUUCCGGUUUGUCCCAGUUUGUUCCGAUUUGUCCCGGUGCUGUAUAGAGCGUGGAGAGCCUGCUGGGGAAACUGAGGCACGCCGGACGCAUCUGAGCCCGCUUCGUCCCAGUCUGUCCCAGUAUAUCCCAGUUCUACCCCAGUUUGUUCCGGUUUGUUCCGAUUUGUCCCGGUGCUGUAUAGAGCAUCGAGAGCCUGCUGGGGAAACUGAGGCACACCGGACGCAUCUGACACCGGUUCAUCCCAGUCUGUCCCAGUUCAACUCCAGUUUGUUCCGGUUUGUCCCAGUUUGUUCUGAUUUGUCCCGGUGCUGUAUAGAGCGUGGAGAGCCUGCUGGGGAAACUGAGGCACGCCGGACGCAUCUGAGCCCGCUUCGUCCCAGUAUAUCCCAGUAUAUCCCAGUUCUACCCCAGUUUGUUCCAGUUUGUCCCAGUUUAUCCCGGUGCUGUAUAGAGCGUGGAGAGCCUGCUGGGGAAACUGAGGCACGCCGGACGCAUCUGACACCGGUUCAUCCCAGUGCCUUCCCAGUCUGUCCCAGUAUAUCCCAGUUCAACCCCAGUUUGUUCCGGUUUGUCCCACUUUGUCCCAGUUCACCCCGGUGCUGUAUAGAGCAUUGAGAGCCUGCUGGGGAAACUGAGGCACGCCGGACGCAUCUGAGCCCGCUUCAGACCAGUAUAUCCCAGUAUAUCCCAGUUCUACCCCAGUUUGUUCCGAUUUGUCCCAGUGCUGUAUAGAGCAUUGAGAGCCUGCUGGGGAAACUGAGGCACGCCGGACGCAUCCGACACCAGUUCAUCCCAGUCCAUCCCAGUCCGUCCCAGUCUGUCCCAGUUCAUCCCAGUAUAUCCCAGUUCAUCCCAGUCCGUCCCAGCGCUGUACGGGUGGGAGAGCAUCAAGUGCCUGCUGGGGAAACUGAGGCACACUGGCCGCAUCUGACACACCGGUUCAAACCAGUUCGUCCCAGUUCAUCCCAGUCCCUCCCAGUUCAUCCCAGUCCCUCCCAGUUUGUCCCAGUUCGUCCCAGUCCCUCCCAGUUCACCCCAGUUCCCCCCAGUGCCUUCCCCCCCCCACCCAAUAAAGGCGUGGCCAGUCAAUGACGUCA